rnacentral:sRNA from 1 species
CCCUAGCCCCGAUUGCAGCGGCAUCCUUUUGUGUAGCGCAGCGGAACAAAAGAUAAAGCGGAAAGCGGGAAAUUGC